AGAGUUUGAUCAUGGCUCAGGAUGAACGCUAGCGGCAGGCUUAAUACAUGCAAGUCGAGGGGCAGCAGGUCUGUAGCAAUACAGAUGCUGGCGACCGGCAAACGGGUGCGGAACACGUACGCAACCUUCCCAUAACUGGUGAAUAGCCCUCCGAAAGGAGGAUUAAUACACCGUAACAUAAUGAAGUGGCAUCACUUUAUUAUUAUAGGCUUCGGCCGGUUUUGGAUGGGCGUGCGCCUGAUUAGGUAGUUGGCGGGGUAACGGCCCACCAAGCCUGCGAUCAGUAACUGGUGUGAGAGCACGACCAGUCACACGGGCACUGAGACACGGGCCCGACUCCUACGGGAGGCAGCAGUAAGGAAUAUUGGUCAAUGGACGAAAGUCUGAACCAGCCAUGCCGCGUGAAGGAUUAAGGCCCUCUGGGUUGUAAACUUCUUUUAUAUGGGACGAAAAAAGGGUAUUCUUACUCACUUGACGGUACCAUAGGAAUAAGCACCGGCUAACUCCGUGCCAGCAGCCGCGGUAAUACGGAGGGUGCAAGCGUUAUCCGGAUUUACUGGGUUUAAAGGGUGCGUAGGUGGGCAGUUAAGUCAGUGGUGAAAUCUCCGAGCUUAACUCGGAAACUGCCAUUGAUACUAUCUGUCUUGAAUUAUCUGGAGGUGAGCGGAAUAUGUCAUGUAGCGGUGAAAUGCUUAGAUAUGACAUAGAACACCAAUUGCGAAGGCAGCUCACUACGGGUAUAUUGACACUGAGGCACGAAAGCGUGGGGAUCAAACAGGAUUAGAUACCCUAGUAGUCC
rnacentral:rRNA from 1 species